CAAUAGCGUAUAUCUAAGUUGUUGCAGUUAAAAAGCUCGUAGUUGGAUUUCGGUUAAGAGCGACCGGUCCGCCGUUUGGUGUGCACUGGUUGGUUUUAACUUCCUGUAGAGGACGUGCUCUGGGUUUAACGACCUGGACUCGGAGUCUACGUGGUUACUUUGAAAAAAUUAGAGUGUUCAAAGCGGGCUUACGCUUGAAUAUUUCAGCAUGGAAUAACACUAUAGGACUCCUGUCCUAUUUCGUUGGUCUCGGGACGGGAGUAAUGAUUAAGAGGAACAGUUGGGGGCAUUCGUAUUUCAUUGUCAGAGGUGAAAUUCUUGGAUUUAUGAAAGACGAACUUCUGCGAAAGCAUUUGCCAAGGAUGUUUUCAUUAA
rnacentral:rRNA from 1 species